rnacentral:rRNA from 1 species
ACGAACGCUGGCGGCGUGCCUAAUACAUGCAAGUCGAGCGAGCGGAACUAACAGAUUUACUUCGGUAAUGACGUUAGGAAAGCGAGCGGCGGAUGGGUGAGUAACACGUGGGGAACCUGCCCCAUAGUCUGGGAUACCACUUGGAAACAGGUGCUAAUACCGGAUAAGAAAGCAGAUCGCAUGAUCAGCCUUUAAAAGGCGGCGUAAGCUGUCGCUAUGGGAUGGCCCCGCGGUGCAUUAGCUAGUUGGUAAGGUAAAGGCUUACCAAGGCGAUGAUGCAUAGCCGAGUUGAGAGACUGAUCGGCCACAUUGGGACUGAGACACGGCCCAAACUCCUACGGGAGGCAGCAGUAGGGAAUCUUCCACAAUGGACGCAAGUCUGAUGGAGCAACGCCGCGUGAGUGAAGAAGGUUUUCGGAUCGUAAAGCUCUGUUGUUGGUGAAGAAGGAUAGAGGUAGUAACUGGCCUUUAUUUGACGGUAAUCAACCAGAAAGUCACGGCUAACUACGUG